rnacentral:misc_RNA from 1 species
CUAGCUAUUGUUACCCUCCCUCCUUCAUCUCAUUAUUAUACCAUGAGUUUAGCCCCCCUACUUCCAUGUACCUAUAUUCUAUUUGAUCAUUCUGGCAAUGAAGUGUGCUAGUGCUCCACUCCAGUGCAUUUUGAUGAUGGAAUGAUGAAUCUCUCAUGGAGUGGAUGACCGCACUCCAAAGUGCACAAUCCGCCACACAGUUCUUGUUUUUCUUGCAGCGCAUACGGAGAAGAAGUAAUCAUGAGGACUGUCUCAAUUGAUGAUAUUGAUUAAAAGCGCUUGUUUGUGCACGCGAUUCCAGAGAGAAGGUGUUUUUUUGUUAUUACCAAAUUGCUUUGGAACUAUAGACCACAUGGACAUACACUCUUGUCUUUUGAUAUGAUAUAUCAGUAUUUCAUUUCCAAAUUGGAGGCAUAAAAGGAUGAAAUUCUGCUAUCUGAAGAGGAAUGUCCAUUGGACAUUGCUGUAGAAAGCAAACGCAAAGUCCGGUUUGUACUUAAAGUCCCUCAGGAUCAGGAAAUGGCCAAUCAACAUGGGGCUUUGCCGGCCCUUACAGACUCUGCCAGACACAAGAUGCUGAGCAAAUUUUUUGGAGUCAGCAGCAGCGAACUUAGUCUUCCCUUCUCGCAGUCUGUACCUUCAUCACAUGAUAACAUAUCUAAUGGCUUUGACUCCCCACGUUCAGACACAUAUUCCAACUGUGAUGCCAUCAGUGUGAGCAGUAGUAACAGCAGUAGUAGCAGCUUUUCAAAUGGCCAACGCAAAUCAAGAGGGCAAAAACCUGUGCUUGGUUCAAAUGGGGUUACAGGAUUAUUAUUGAAACCUCAGACUCCUCGCUUCAAGCGAAAGGCAUCCACUCCCGGUCAAGAGCAUAGAAAUAUACGACCCCCUAACAGGGCACAGAAAAAGAGACACAGACCAAAAUCACUAACUUUGAUGCUGGAAAGAAGUCUGAGUUUAAAGAGGAGACAAAAUGACGGUGGUAGAAAGCAGAAUGGGAAAGAACUGUCAACAGAGGAAUCAGCCCCAGGAGUACUCAAAGUUUUUGGAGACUCCUUGUGCCCUGGAUCAAAUUAUAAGAGUAUACUUGCUUCUGCAAGGUCAUCAGCUGUUGAGUUAGUGAAGGAAAUUUUGACAAGGUAUUCUCUACCCAGAAGUGCACAUACAGAAUAUGUUCUGUGUGAUGUCAUUGGAAAGUUUGUAAGUAGGAAGCAAAAUGGACUGAAGAAGACAGAACAGGGUGAUUCACAGGAAAGAUGGAUUGAGGAAUGUGUAAGAGCACUUGCAGACAAUGAGAAACCUUUGAUGAUCCAGUCAUUCUGGAAGCCUGGUGAUGGUCUUGUAAGGCGAUUUGAGAUCAGACGACGACAAGAUCUCCCACCGGAGGAGAUAGACAGCAUCACAUCUGGUAUUAACAAGAAUGCCAGAAGACUUCAGAUGUCACGGUCACAUGCUGUUGCUCCAAAUGAGACCAGUAUGGACAGGUUGGAUACUGGUGUAGAUAUGGAAAAUGGAUUCUUCAAUGGAGACCUUGCUUCCCAUUCUAGUCCACGAUCAAGCAUCAUCCACUCUCAGGAUCCAAAUUUGAGCCUGGAACGCGAAGAAACAGAGAGCAGUGAUGAGCCAAUCCUUUGCAAUAUGAGAAUGCCCUCAGAAAUGCCGUAUUUCCUAACACUCCACGGUUAUGACAAUCAUGAUGUCUUGCUUCACAUGCUCACCAAGGAAGUGAUGCUUGUGGGAAAUAGACAAAUUGAACCUGAGGAGGAUGAUAGUGAUGAAUUGUAUGCAGAGGGUAUUGAUAUCUCUCUUGAGGCUCCUGAUAUCUUGCCACAGCACUGUUGGAUCUUCCGCCAGCAGAGGCAUCUACAGGAACAGGAAGACUCAAGAGAAGAAGAGAGUGAAUUUGUUGUAAGACUAGAGACCUUACCCAAUGCGCACGUCAUCAUCAAUGGUAUCCCUGUUUCUGGAAGUGCCACUCUUAACCCUGGAGACUUUGUGUGCUUUGGUCAUCACUACGCAGUUAUGUACAAGGACCCUACAGCCUGUACCUCUCCAGCAAUGUUCCCCUGGAGUAUCCCACCCAGCAUGACUCAGAGGCGCUGGGUUGCUCCCAAUCAGUAUCUUGCCCAGAAAGCCAAUGAAUAUACCAACGACAAGCAGAGAAUUAAGGUUAUGUACAGACCUCAUGAUGAGGACCAGAUUUUCAACUGGAUUGGGCAACACCUAGAGAAGGCAGACACCAAGUGUCCUCUUGGAAUGUCUUACCUCUUAGCAUCUAUGGUUGAAUAUGCCGCCUAUCAUUUUCAUCAGACCAAUGCGAAGUCACUCGUUAUCAAAUCGGCAACUCUCAUCCAAGGCAUCGCUUGGGACACAACUAAAAAUCUUGCCAAUCGCCCAGCAGAGAAACCUGAGGAUGUUCAUGGUACCAUGGCAACACUCGUCCCAGAUCUGCGUAUUCUACUCAUCUGCAUGGCCAAUGCCUUGGAGCUUCUUAACUUCUACCAGAACAACCUUCACAACUACUUGGCUUCCCAGAUGCCCUAUAAGGAUGGGAACAGCUCAACACCUUCAACUUCAUCAUCAACAUCUUCAUCAGAGCAGGAAAAGAGAGAGGUAGAGGAGGGUGAACAAGAAGUCUUGUCUAUCUUAGAAGAGGUGAUGAUGUAUACAUUCCAGCAGUGUGUCUACUAUCUCACCAAGACGCUCUAUGUAGUCCUACCAGCGGUUCUCGAUUCUAACCCAUUCUUGGAUGAAUCAAACGAUGGACGUAGUUCACCAAGCAACAGUGGUAUGGACAAGGUCAUCUAUGUCUUUCAGUCGACCUAUGACCUCCUACAUGAGGUUGGAGUUCAUUCUCAGAUUACAUCACAACUCUUUGCAUACCUGCUAUUCUUUACCAAUGCAUCACUCUUCAAUAUGCUCAUGGAAAGAGGAGUUGGAGGCAAGUUCUUCAAGUGGUCAAAGGGAGCCCAGAUCAGAGGCAACCUGGAUCUUCUAGAGAUAUGGAUCCAUGAGAAAGAUCUAAAGCUCCAGGCUAGCUUCCUACAGAAGGUUUCCAUGGCAACAGACCUACUAGCCACACCCAAACUCCAACUUGCUCAGGCGGAGUGGAGCUCAAUCCGACGGGAUUUCCCAGUGCUGAAUGCAGCCCAGAUUCAUCAGAUGCUUAGCGAGUAUGAUAUUGGAUGUUCACAGGCUUCAAGACCCAGGGCUUGGUUCCCAACACCCAAGGAAGUAGAGGCUGCAUUGAAAACAGAGGAAAUCCUGGUAAGCUUUGAUGAUCAUCCACCACUGGUUCUGCCUACGGAUGCCUUCCAACUUGAUCUAAGAUGUGAUGUCUGUGAACUGUUGCCAGGAUUCAGAGAUAUUCUUCAGGCGCUCCAUAAAGAAUUCCCAAAGAUCAGAAUAAAGACUGAUCAUGGAGAUAUCAAUCUACCGGUGUUUGAUGAGGAGUCAUCAAUCGAAGAGACAACAGGUCCGGAGGAAGACAUUCCAUCUAGGGACAAAAGGAAAAAAGCAGUCAUGCCCAAGAUCAGAUCUCGAUGUUCUUCUUGGCCUACAAAUGAGAAAGAUGCGGGGGCUAUUCUUGAUGAUAACCUGGAGGAAGAGAAAGGUGUGAAAAUUCAUCAAGCAAAAGGAGGAAUCGACCAGAGAUGCCAAAAACUCAUGGAGGAAUUAUCUCUGAAUGGGGAAGUCAACAACAAUGUAAGGAACAUCAGAGCAAGGCCAAGUGUCAGAAGACAGACAUCUCUUUCUGCAUUGCCAGACCAUAAGCCACAUCCACCCCUUGUCAAGAGUUAUAGCUCUCCAUCAAUGCCAAAUGUAGCUACAAUGGUACCUAAGGUUGAUACUGAUACAAAUGGUUCAAGAACUCUUUUGACGAGUGGAAUUAGUGAGAAUGGACAUGGUAGUAGGUUGAUGGUUGCAGAUCGGAAGCCAGAGAAUGGCUGUAAGGGUGCUCCGGUGAAUCAUGUUGUCAAGCCAAUCCUGAAGAAUAAAAAACCCAAGCCUCAUCGGAUGGACAUAGAGAAUGGUAUAUCCCACAUUACUCAGGAUGUCAUAUUAGAGGAAGAUGGUGAAGUUUUCCUACCAUCGCCACCACCAGUCUCGCCCAAACCUGCAUCUAUUCCUCCAUCACCAAGAAUCCCAACAUCAACCAUCACCAUGCAAACUCCAUCUCUUUCAUCAUCAGCGAUAUCAUCUACUGAUCAUAAGAAACAUUCCUCACCACCUCCACCUCCUCCCAAACCAAAGACAAGACCAGCUUUGAAUGGCUUUCAGCUUCCUCGCACUCCAGCCACCAAUGGAAACCUCAAUGUCAUAGCUCCUCCUCUAGGAUUUGAGUCAUCCCCAGAAGAGAAACAGAGGAGAGAGGAAGCAGUAAAGCAAGGUGAUAGGAUUAAACAGGACGUCUUCAAACUGGAGGGCAAAGAUAUUGAGAUAACCCUGGAGAAUGGAGACAAGGGAAGGGUGGUGGAAGAAAGUAAAGAAAAUCAGAAAGUCAUUGGAGCAGAAAAGGGGGAAGCUCUAAGCAGUAAUAUGAGCAACAACAAUGUGGAUCUGGAUGGAGAAGGGCUAGAGGAACUUCUUAAAGGGAUUGAUUGCCAAGACAACAGCGACCUUAGUUUCUGGCAGGAAGACCGCACAGGAUCAGAGUCAACAGGUAGCCUUGCUACUCCUGAGAGUUGGACCAAUGAAUCACCUCAAAGUGAAUGGUCAUCAUCAUCAUUCAGGCAACGCAAGGAUUCUAUAGAUGAUGUGUUUGUAGUGGAUCUAGAGAAGGGAGAGUCUGGUCUUGGUCUUGGACUAGUUGAUGGACUGCACACUGUGUUGAAAUCUCCUGGGAUCUAUAUCUGUAAGGUACUGCCUGGUGGGUCAGCUAACCAAUGUGGUAAACUCAGAGUUGGUGAUAGGAUUCUAGCAGUCAAUGGUACAAGUCUAGUAGGGGCAGAUUAUGAUAGGUAAGUAGUAGAGGUACUUAGAGUGUCUAGUAGGGGCAGAUUAUGAUAGGUAAGUAGUAGAGGUACUUAGAGUGUCUAGUAGGGGUAGACUAUGAUAGGUAAGUAGUAGAGGUACUUAGAGUGUCUAGUAGGGGCAGAUUAUGAUAGGUAAGUAGUAGAGGUACUUAGAGUGUCUAGUAGGGGCAGAUUAUGAUAGUGCAAUGAAUCUGAUCAAGAAUACUGGUGAUAAGUUACGUAUACUGGUUGGCAAAUCAGAUAACAACACUGCUAUGAAGAUCA